GUAAUUAAAGAAAUAUUCAUUAAGAUCAAAGAAGUUUAUACAAUUUCAAGAAUAAAAAAAUAAAUAAAUAAAACUCGUGUCCCUUUGUUACGGUUACAUCCAGCCCUAGUGAAGAGAUUAACCUUCCAUGAAGAGUUGAACAGCUGCACUGCAGGGGGACUUCAUGAUGAUUGGCUCCUUCCUCUCGUCGGCUCCCUCUCAACAAAUCAUCAUCUCUAUCAUUCCCAAAAUACCCAAACUCUUCUCUGCCUUUCCUCUUCUUCCCGUGGGAACUUGGCCUGUGAGAGAUCUGGAACCAAACCCCAGCUUCUUCUUCUCCCGAUGGGGAAAAGGAGGAAUUAAUCCCUAAGGAGAACUCUCCUCCUUUUAUAGACUCAGCAUCCCCUCUCUUUCUUUCUCUGUAUUGAUCCGAAUGGGAAGAUAAACUCGUGGAGGUUUGAUCUGAUCCGGAUGAUUGCAAUAUCCAAUCUGGACGUUGGGGAGAAGAUGCUGGAUGCUUGAUUUACGAAGAGGAUUGGGCGCAUGGGAAGAGGCAGAUGGUUGGAGGUUAAGAUUGGAUCCAUAGAUAAGAAUGAACUCGGUUGGGAAAAAUCGGAAGGAGAUUGUUCGGGAGGAAAGGGAUGCGAGAGAGAAUGAUGAUGCUAGAUUCGGCUGGAAGAGGAGCUGGGAUAGAACGUAGGAUGGUGUUCUCGGCUGAGAGGAAGCAAUCGGUUGGGAACAAGUUGGGUUGUUCACGGGAUGAGGAUGAAUACGGAGACGUGUAAGUUGAAACAGGGGAUUAUUCCGUGGAGGGG
rnacentral:lncRNA from 1 species